rnacentral:misc_RNA from 1 species
AAGUCGUAACAAGGUAACCGUAGGUGAACCUGCGGUUGGAUCAUUACCAAAUAUCCAACGGGUGGCUUUGGCCCCCGACCCCCACCUCUUGUGCAAUGUUCCGUAUUUGGCGGGCCCCUCGCCCUCCCGCAAGGGGGGGCGCGGAUUGUGGGGACCCUCUGGUCCCCGACCGUCAAGCUACCCCACACACACACACACUUUGUGUACUACAACCCCCCUCCUCUGACGUUUAUAACGCCUGGCGUGCGCUUGCACGACGGGAGCAUAAUCGAAAACAACUUUUGACAACGGAUCUCUUGGCUCUC